AUUGAACGCUGGCGGCAGGCCUAACACAUGCAAGUCGAGCGGAUGAAGCGUGCUUGCUCCUGGAUUCAGCGGCGGACGGGUGAGUAAUGCCUAGGAAUCUGCCUGGUUGUGGUUUAUAACGUCCGGAAACGGGCGCUAAUACCGCAUACGCCCUGAUGGAGAAAGUGGGGGAUCUUCGGACCUCACGCUAUCAGAUGAGCCUAGGUCGGAUUAGCUAGUUGGUGGGGUAAAGGCCUACCAAGGCGACGAUCCGUAACUGGUCUGAGAGGAUGAUCAGUCACACUGGAACUGAGACACGGUCCAGACUCCUACGGGAGGCAGCAGUGGGGAAUAUUGGACAAUGGGCGAAAGCCUGAUCCAGCCAUGCCGCGUGUGAGAAGAAGGUCUUCGGAUUGUAAAGCACUUUAAGUUGGGAGGAAGGGCAGUAAGUUAAUACCUUGCUGUUUUGACGUUACCAACAGAAUAAGCACCGGCUAACUUCGUG
rnacentral:rRNA from 1 species